rnacentral:rRNA from 1 species
CGGUAAGGAAGCGGGGAGCGACUUAGCGGCGGACGGGUGAGUAACGCGUGGGUAACCUGCCCCAUACCGGGGGAUAACGGUUAGAAAUGACCGCUAAUACCGCGUAAGCGCGCGAGGCCGCAUGGCCCCGCGCGAAAAACUCCGGUGGUAUGGGAUGGGCCCGCGUCUGAUUAGCUAGUUGGCGGGGUAAAGGCCCACCAAGGCGACGAUCAGUAGCCGACCUGAGAGGGUGGCCGGCCACAUUGGGACUGAGACACGGCCCAAACUCCUACGGAAGGCAGCAG